rnacentral:sRNA from 1 species
GAGACUGUUUAGGAGAGACUAACAAGCAAGACUUGGAAAAGGGAGCAGUUUCUCCAAGAACAAAAGAAAACUGACAUUUGAUUGUAUUAGGUAUACAUUUCUUAGCUCUGCGGCAUUGGUAUUCAAAUUUGGCUCCACAUUGGAAUCACCUAGGAGUUUUUAAAAGAGCCAAUGUGUGCCACUCCUGACCCACAGUCUGAUUUCAUUGGAAAACUUAAAACUCCUGAGGUGAUUCUGCUGUGCAGCGGUGCAUAGAGCUGCUGUGCUGUGGGAGCCAUAACUUGCUGAAUCAUGCCAGAGUCUCUGAAUUCACAGCCGUUUGUCUCUUCCCACAGUUGGCAGCCCUCACUUUUGCAAGCUUGCAAAUCAUACUGGGUACAUCAAAGUUGACUGGCAACGAGUGGAGAAGGACAUGAAGAAAGCCAAAGAGCAGCUGAAGAUCCGUAAGAGCAAUCAGAUACCUACUGAGGUCAGGAGCAAAGCUGAGGAGGUGGUGUCAUUUGUGAAGAAGAAUGUUCUAGUGACUGGGGGAUUUUUCGGAGGCUUUCUGCUUGGCAUGGCAUCCUAAGGAAGAUGACCUCAUGUUCAUUGUUCCUGGUUUUUUCCAGCCAGCAGCCUCUACACUCCAUCAUAGGACAUCGAGUCCCUCCUCCUCUUCUCCCAUGCCUUCCUCCCUGCCAUGGCAAAUCCAAGUGGCUUCUAUAAGCAUCUGCUGGUACAAGUUAAUGUGGCACCAUGAGCUUGAUGGUGGCAGAAGAGACAAUAGUCCUUAGCUCUCCUCCCAGUAC